GUUGGGUGUCCCGGAUAAUACAAAUAUGGUCACUGCGAGAACAAUUUGCCCCACUUUAGGCCGUCUGCUGGCUGCUACAGCGGUGACUACCUCUAGAAGUAUUCGUAUAAUGAAGGAUCCAAGUAAGCACUUAUUUGGGGCCCCGUCAGCGGGUCUCGGGUAUCGACUCUCGGCAGUUCCACAGUCAGGACGAACGUCUGUUACCUCUACUUUAUUUGGAAAGCCUCAAGUUCGGUACAGAAGUUGCUAAGCUGUCACGUGACGCAAGAAGCAACAUCAUCCUGAUUGACUCAACUUGUAUUAGUAAUUCGUCAGGAUUGUUUGUAACUCUACAUAGAUAUAAAUUUUGCGCAGUUGAUUAUUUAAUUAGUUUUAAAUUAAUGACGUUUUGCGUCAUAUCAUCAUAAGUGAUCUGCAGUUGCUUCUUGAUGUAAAUGUUAUGAUUUGGGGACUCA